CUAAUAGCAAUACUGUCAACAUAAAGAAAGAAAUUGAGGCUAAGGUAAUAAUAAACAGUUUAUUUGAGUGAAUAUUGAGGGCUGAAGCCCAGAAACACUUCCAAGUUACCUUGGGAAGUGCUCAAGAGAACAAAGGAGAGGCUCAAGUCUUUAAAGAAAAAAGGAUGAAUCUGAAUAGUUGCAAUUACAAAAGUUAUUUGUAAGGAAUUCUAAUUGAUUUACAGAAAUAACAUUGAUGAGCUAUUGACUAUCAUUACUGAAUGACCAUAGAGUGUUAGGUUAAUUAUAGAGUUGUUUGUAUAUCUUUUGAGUAAUCUGUUAAAAAGGGAGUAAGGGAAGAGGGAGAAAGAGAAACAGAUUCUGUUGGUCUCAUGCUAUCUUUCUUAGGUCUUUUGAUUGUUUGGAAAACUGAGUGUCUUUUACUAUCUUAUGAAUAAUAUAUAAACAUCGUGUUCAAAAGAAAAAACGGAAUGGUACUUUGCAUCAGUGUAUUAUAAAUAGUAAACCUAAUUUUAAUGGAAGCUUCUAAAGAGAUCCAUCAAACCUCAACUAGCUUUGACUACACAAGAUUUCUGUAAACAUUUUUUAAGCUUUCACAAUUUUUAUUCUUUUUUCCCAACGUUCUAUAUCCAUUCAGUUAAUCCAUCUCAUUCUUUUUCCUUUUAUUCUCUCAGUUUAAUCCAUUCUUUAAAUAACCUCUAAACUAGGCAAAGUCACUGUUGCAAAAACAAACAAACAAACAAACAAAACACACACCCAUAUAUUUUCCCUAACCUUUCUUACCCCUAAUAUAUCUCACUUUUUAAAUACAUUUUGAAUAUAGAAUUGUUUUCCAUUAUCUAGCCUUAGUUACCAUAUACCAGUCUAAAGUUAUAAAUUGAAUGUACUGUAACUGAGUAUGCCAUUUUCUUAAAAGUUAUCUUUUUUUUUUUUUAAAUACUAUGCAGCCAUAAAAAAUGAUGAGUUCAUGUCCUUUGUAGGGACAUGGAUGAAGCUGGAAACCAUCAUUCUCAGCAAAGUAUCGCAAGGACAAAAGUUAUCUUUACUUCUCUCUUCUUCCUUGUGUUCACCUCUCACUUAGCAUCUCAGGAAUGCAAACGUAACCUUUACCUUCCUUUCCUCUGGCCAGAGUGCCUACAAGCAUUGUUAGCUGUAUGUUUGCUUAGAAGAUCCAGGGACCAAGUCUUGAAACAAACCAAGCACCCUCCAGAAUUCUCCCCCACCAGGAAACUACAGGCCGAAUCUGUCUGCAGUGGUGCCAGCCCGACUACCAGAUGACCUAUUAAUUGAGAUGAGUCCCCAAGAAAGUCACAUAAACCACCACCUCCAUGCCUCUUCUGCAUACCCUGCAUACCAAAAUUUCUCUUCUUAAAACCCUGCUUUCUGCCCACAAAGCUGAAGUGGGUCAUUUACAUAUGAAUCUAGCCCUUUCCCAUUGCUAAGCUUGGGAAUUAAGCACUUUCUUUUUACCGCCCUCGUGCUUGUUAUUUGAUUUUGCAAGUGGAGAGUGGGCAAACCUGUGUUCAGCAACAAUGUCUCUUGAGGCCUUCCAAGGAAAGAUGAGAUUUAUCUUAAAUAUACAAAGCCUUCUGUCCCCACUUCCUCUUAAUCAAUGAAAUUUGUUAUUUUAUUCCUUUUGUUGAUUGUAUAUUUACCAUUGUAAUAUACAUCGAAUUUGAGAAGGACUUUUAGUUGUUACUUUCUGUUUUAACAACCCUUGGCUUUCUCCCCCAUUGUAGCCUACUCCUGUUUUAUCUUGGGCUACUUCUUUUUAUUGCUUUCCUUUUCAUGACUACUGACCCUCACAUUCUUUCUGUUUUGCAGAAAUUUGUAGAAAUUUUUCACUGAGUGUUUUUUCUUUUAUCUUUUUUUUCUGCUCUUUUAUAGUUUUUUCUUUUUUAUAUCAUUUUAUUGGUGCUUUGGAGAGAAGAGGAGAAACUUAAACUCAAACAUGUUAAAAGAAAAGCAAUUCAGCCUAACCAACAUGGUGAAACCCAAUCUCUACUAAAAAUACAAAAAUUAGCUUGGCGUGGUGCAUAAUCCUAGCUACUCAGGAGGCUGAGGCCCGCGAAUCACUUGAACCCGGUGUUACCGGGGGAUCCUUGUUUUUAGAGCGCCCAAGAUGGUGGCAGUCACUUCCAAGAUGGUGGCAAGCCUCUUGUUCUCUGACCUGGGGUUCUUGGCCUCACGGAUUCCAAGAAAUGGCAUCUUAGGCCGUGCGUGAGUGUCAUAGCUCUAUUAGAAGCUGUGGGUCAUGGAAGAGAACCGUUGAACCCAGCGACUAGUGUUCGGCUCGAUUAGGACGAACCUGGGCACUUAGCUGUGCAGGAACAAUGGCAAAACUUUAGCCCAAUCGGGAGUGGCAAUGGGCGCCUAGCUGGAUCAGAAGCACAGCUGACACCCUGCCAGAUCCAGAAGGGUGGAAGUCAGCGGCGGAUCUGCAACGGGCAAACAGCAGUGGUGGACAGCAAGCGGAAGCUCAGCUCAGCUCCAGCCCUGAGAAAGACCAGAAGACUGUGCAGCAGCAAGAUUUAAUAGAGUGAAAACGGAGCUCCCACAAAAUGGGAGGGGACCCAAAAGGGGUUGCCGUCACCGGCUGGAAUGCCUAGGUUUAUAUCCCGAUCAUUGUCCCUCCCCCUGGGCUCUCAGGCGAUAGAUGAUUGGCUAUUUCUUCACCUUCUGUUUUAGCCUAAUUAGCAUCUUAGUGAGCUUUCUUUACUACCUGAUUGGGCAGGUGUGAGCUAAGUUGCAAGCCCUGUGUUUAAAGGUGGAUGCGUCACCUUCCCAGCUAGGCUUAGGGAUUCUUAGUCGGCCUAGGAAAUCCAGCUAGUCCUGUCUCUCACUGGGAGAGGAAGGUUGUAGUGAGCCGAGAUAGCGCCACUGCACUCCAGCCUGAGCGACAGAGCAAGACUCCGUCGCAAAUAAAAAAAGGAAAAAAAAAAAAAGAAAAGAAGCAAUUGUAUUAACUGUCUUAUGUACUUUUUUGCAUCUUAAAUAUUCUAUAAUACCUUUUUUUCAUAUUUUGCGAUUAUUAAAAGUCAAGUUCCCAAGAAAAUAGAUUCUCCAAUAGGGAUUAGUGUGCAUCAAGUUUAUUAGGAAGUUGUAAUAUAAUAAGAAAUAUAUUUGAUCUCUGCCCCCAUGACCCAGCAUACAGCUUCUAAAACUCUUGCAAUCUUUGAGAUGAUGUGUCUUUUGUAUGCUAGUGAGAGGACUGGUGCUGGGGGGCAGUUACUGGAUAGCAUUAGCAUAGGGGCUGGUUGCCAGGGGAACCAACUAAGUGAUUGUGACUUUCAGUCCCUACCUUGAUAUUCUGGGAGAAAAGAGGGAUUGGAGGUUGAGUCAGUCACUAAUGGCCAAUGAUUGAGUCAGUCAUGUGUAUGUAAUAAGGCCUCCAUAAAAACCGAAGAGGAUGGGGUUUGCAGAGCUUCUAGGCUGGUGAGCACUUGGAUGUGCUGGAGGCAUCCAGAGGGUGGAGCACGUGGAGAGGGCAUGAAUGCUCAGUGCACCUUCCCUCAUACCUUGCCUUAUACAGCGUUUCCAUCUGGCUGCUGUUGAGUUUUAUUCUUUAUAACAAUAUGCUAACCCUAAGCAAAGUUUUCCUGAGUUCUGUGAGCCAUUCUAGCAAAUGGUGGAACCUGAGAAAGGGGACAUGGGAAUCUCUGACUUACAGCCAGUCAGCCCGAAGCACAGGAUACCAAAAUCAUCAUACCAGAGACAUGAAUCUCCCUCAUUUGGCAUCCCAGGAGGCCUGGAUCAGUUUCACUGUGAAUGCUCCGCCGCUCAACCACACAAGCACCCUUCCUCCAGGCCCAGGGGAUACUGCAGAAGAGUUCUGGAGACUGCAAAUGGAAGAUUAAGGCACUAGCAAGUUUUGUGUCUGAUGAGGACCUGAUCUCUGUUUCCAAGUUGGUACGUUGUUGCUGGGUCCUCCAGAGGGGACAAACACUAUGUUAUCACACGACAGAGAUGGAAGGGCAAAAGGGCUUAGCUAGUUCCCUCCAGUCUUUACAUGUGACAUUAAUCUUAUUCAUGAGGGCUUCACCCUCAUGGCCUAUUUGCCUCCUAAAGGGCCUACCUCUUAAUAUUAUUACAUUGGGAAUUCAAGUUUCAAUGAAUUUUGAAGUGGAAACAUAUUCAAACCCUACCAUUCCUACAAUUACUCUCUCCUCAAAGCACUGAACUUGUUCGUGGACUCAG